rnacentral:snRNA from 1 species
GUGCUCACUUUGGUAGCACAUAUACUAAAAUUGGAAUAAUACUGAGAAAAUUAGCAUGACCCUUGUGCAAGAUAGCAUGUAAAUUUGUGAAGCUUUCCAUAGUUUA